rnacentral:misc_RNA from 1 species
GAUGAAGAACGUAGCGAAAUGCGAUAAGUAGUGCGAAUUGCAGAAUUUAGUGAAUCAUCGAAUCUUUGAACGCACAUUGCGCCCUUUGGUAUUCCUUAGGGCAUGCCUGUUCGAGCGUCAUCUACACCCUCAAGCACAGCUUGGUGAUGGGCGCCUGUCCCGCCCCCCACGGGGGCGCGGACUCGCCUCAAAUGCAUUGGCGGCCGGCGACCUGGCUUCGAGCGCAGCAGAAACGCGUACUCGGGGACCGGGCGCCCGCUCCCAGAAGCCAACCCACCCAGUUUGACCUCGGAUCAGGUAGGGAUACCCGCUGAACUUAAGCAUAUCAAUAAGCGGAGGA